UGGGGAAUUUUGGACAAUGGGCGAAAGCCUGAUCCAGCAAUGCCGCGUGUGUGAAGAAGGCCUUCGGGUUGUAAAGCACUUUUGUCCGGAAAGAAAUCCUUGGCUCUAAUACAGUCGGGGGAUGACGGUACCGGAAGAAUAAGCACCGGCUAACUACGUGCCAGCAGCCGCGGUAAUACGUAGGGUGCAAGCGUUAAUCGGAAUUACUGGGCGUAAAGCGUGCGCAGGCGGUUUGCUAAGACCGAUGUGAAAUCCCCGGGCUCAACCUGGGAACUGCAUUGGUGACUGGCAGGCUAGAGUAUGGCAGAGGGGGGUAGAAUUCCACGUGUAGCAGUGAAAUGCGUAGAGAUGUGGAGGAAUACCGAUGGCGAAGGCAGCCCCCUGGGCCAAUACUGACGCUCAUGCACGAAAGCGUGGGGAGCAAAACAGGAUUAGAUACCCUGGUAGUCCACGCCCUAAACGAUGUCAACUAGUUGUUGGGGAUUCAUUUCCUUAGUAACGUAGUUAACGCGUGAAGUUGACCGCCUGGGGAGUACGGUCGCAAGAUUAAAACUCAAAUGAAUUG
rnacentral:rRNA from 1 species